CUCUGAGUCACAAACCCUGGGGAACCCGGGCUGCAGGGUCGGAGAGCCAGGCGCUGGGACCCCCUCUGCAGGUCUAGGGGUCUAUCCCAGCCUGACGCCCCAGCCAUGGGCAGAGCCCUGCCGCCACAGCAGGACACCAGGGAAGGGGAGCUCCCGGCUCAGGGCCCACCCUGGAGAGCAGGGGGUCCUGCCACGCUGAGGGUCCUGAUCCUCGCCCUGCUCUGGAGGGGGUCCCUGUCCCAGAAGCCCAAAUUUAUCCUGAUGGUGCCACAGUCGGUUUCGGUGCAGGAGGGUCUCUGCGUUCUCGUCCCCUGCAACUUCACGUACUCAGCCUCGUACAACACCGACAAUU